rnacentral:rRNA from 1 species
AUUGAACGCUGGCGGCAUGCCUUACACAUGCAAGUCGAACGGUAACAGGUCUUCUUAUGCUGACGAUUGGCUAACGGGUGAGUAAUACAUCGGAACGUGCCCGAUCGUUGGGUAUAACGUAGCUUAAGCUUUCCUAAUACCGCAUCCGAUCUACGGAUCUAAGCCGUGGACGGCGAUGCCUUGCUCCGACGGAUCGGGCUAUGCCAGCGUCGUUAGUUCGUGGGGUUAACGCUUACCAAGUCGACGAUCUGUAGCUGAUCUGAGAGGACGAUAGGCCACACUGGGACUGAGACACGGACAAGACUCCUAAGGGAGGCAGCAGUGGGGAAUUUUGGACAAUGGGCGAAAGCAUGAUCCAACCAUGCCGAGUGUAGGAUGAAGGCCUUCGGGUUGUAAACUGCUUUUGUACGGAACGAAAAGACUCUGUCUAAUAAAGAGGGUCAAUGACGGUAACGUAAGAAUAAGCACCGGCUAACUACGUG